rnacentral:rRNA from 1 species
CCCAGACUCCUACGGGAGGCAGCAGUGAGGAAUAUUGGUCAAUGGCCGCAGGGCUGAACCAGCCAAGUCGCGUGAGGGAUGACGGUCCUAUGGAUUGUAAACCUCUUUUGUCAGGGAGCAAAGGGCGCCACGUGUGGCGUUUUGCGAGUACCUGAAGAAAAAGCAUCGGCUAACUCCGUGCCAGCAGCCGCGGUAAUACGGAGGAUGCGAGCGUUAUCCGGAUUUAUUGGGUUUAAAGGGUGCGCAGGCGGAAUGUCAAGUCAGCGGUAAAAUUUCGGGGCUCAACCCCGUACUGCCGUUGAAACUGCAUCCCUUGAGUGCGCGAGAAGUAUGCGGAAUGCGCGGUGUAGCGGUGAAAUGCAUAGAUAUCGCGCAGAACUCCGAUUGCGAAGGCAGCAUGCCGGCUCCACACUGACGCUGAGGCACGAAAGCGUGGGUAUCGAACAGGAUUAGAUACCCUUGUAU